CUACAUCUGUGACUCUAGCCAAGUAAUGGCUUCCCACUGUUGCCAGUCUCUGAGUGCCUUGCUUGUCCCCUGAACCCUGCCUGCACCUGUGUAAGAGGUCCCUGCAAUGAAGUCUCUUCAGUUGAACCACGUGUGAAAAUCAUUGAUUGGUCCAGCUCGAGUCACGGGCUCCGGCUGCUGGCGCCUCCAGGCUAAUAACACACUGUCAUCUAGAUGGGAAGAGGGAGCUCUUCCCCCAGCACAGAGCGCUCCUGCAGCACACUGCCACAGGGCUGGGGUGCCCUGGCUCGUCCUGUGGGAGGGGCUGGUCACCGUGAUGGGCAGCCCCCACCCCCGGAGUCAGAGGAGUGAACCCCAGAGGAAGGGGCAGCAGUGCAGAGAGGUAUGGGGCCGACAGAAGCAACAGCUGUUCAGCCCACUCCACUGCUCUUGUCCACCUCAGUGAGAGUCCUGGCCAUCUCUUCCCCCCAAGAACCUCUCCUAGCUUCUGCCACCUUUCAUUGUCCCCAGGCGGGCAAAGAUGGCUCGACAUGUAUUUUGCUGGACGGUUAAAAGAGCACAACCAUCUUCCCUGUGUAUUUUCACUGCAACCAAUUAUCCGGGCUUUGUCUUCGAUGCAGAAAUUAAAAUAAAAAGAAGACAAAUGUUCUGGCUUUGGUUUUCCCUUUGGUUUCUUCAGGCAUUUGAUGGCUGAUCUCAUGCUGCCUUGCUUGAAGAAUGUAUUUACGUUGCUCGAGAGUGACAAGCGACUGACUGCAAGGGCAGUAAAUAGCAGGAGCGGAAGGCAGAUGCCUGCCAAGGGAGAAGCUGGGAGCCGGAUUUGGUCCGACAUUCGUUAAUGGGCUGGAAGCACAGGACGGCAUGGGGAGAUGCGGUCUGCGGAAGGUCCAGUGCUGGGAACGCACAGGAAAGGCAGUGCGGGUGGGGACCGAGAAUGAGUGAGCUACAGCCACUUUUCACUGUUUUUUUUUUUUGUUUCCUAAUAAGAAAAUUGUAUGUUGGA